UUUUAGUGGAUAUAGGGGCAACUUAUUCAGUGUUAAAUCAGAGGGAAAAGAAUUUGUUACAGACGUGAGAGCUGCUGGCCACCAAGAAAAACAAAAAGAAAAAAAGAAAAAGAAAAAAAGAGGCAUUCUUUCUGAAACCCUUAAAGUACAAAUUCGGAAAACAAAUAUGAAUGCAUAAAUUUUUAUGCACGCCAAAUUCUUCAAAAUCUUUAUUAGGGUGAGAAGCAACAUUUAAAGAAGGCAAAAGAGUUUUUAAGAGUUAAAACCAAUCAAUUAAUUGCAGUUCUGGGUUUAUCUUUAAUUCAACAGAAAAGUGAACAGGAGGACCUCCCUGAAAUAGAAGAAAUCCUUAAUCAGGUAUAUCUGGGAGUAUGGGCAUCUGAAGUUCCAGGUAAGGCGAAAAAUGCUUUGCCUGUUAAAGUAGACAUAAAAAGGGGGUGCCUGCCCAACUAGUAUAAGAUAAUAUCCCUUAAAAUUGGAGGAUCAGAGGGAAUUAAAAAAAAAUAAAAAGAAGAAAUGAUCAUUGAUAAAUUUUAAAAUACAGAUUAUUAAUUGAAUAUGAAUUGGAAUAUAAUACUCUUAUCUUGCCAGAAAAGAAAUAAAGUUGCAGAUUGGUUCAAGAUCUCAGAGCAACCAACAAAUCUGCAGAGGAUAUUCAUCCAGUAGUAGCUAAUCCGUAUGCCUUGUUGACUAAAUUGAAUAAUAAUCAGAAAUGGUUUGCUGUCUUGGAUUUAAAGGACUCUUUCUUUUGCUUACCAUUGGCCAAAAUAACCCAGAACUUAUUUGCUUUUGAAUGGGAAAAUCCUGACACAGGAAGGAAAACCCAACUGACUUGGACGGUAUUACCUCAAGGGUUUAAAAGCAGUCCAAUAAUUUUUGGAAAUCAGCACGGGAACUAGAAUCAUGGAAACCACCCACUCAGACAGGGACUCUGUUACAAUAUGUGAAUGACCUAUUAAUUGUCACAGAAACAAAGGAAGAAUGUGUCCAGUGAAUGGUGGGAUUAUUGGAUUUUCUGGGGAUGAAUGGUUAUCGGGUAUCCAAACAAAAGGCCCAACUAAUUCAAACCCAAGUUUCCUAGAUAGGAUAUGAAAUAACAGGAGGACAGAGAGAACUUGGAACCACUAGAAAAGAAGCUAUUUGUCAAACUCCACAACUGUCGACCAUCAGGGAGCUCUGGACGUUACUGGAGAUGACUGGAUGAUGCAGACUUUGGAUGCAUGAUUAUGGUGUUCUGAAUUUUUCAGGAGAUCCUCUACAGGAGAAGUGGAGCAGACUGUACCAGAUAAUAUUGACCACCUCUACAGCAGUGAAGAUAAAGGAACAACCUGCUUGGAUACAUCAUUCAAGAAUAAAGCACCAGAGCCAGAGAAGACAUGGUGGAUCGAACCUUCAGGACCCUUACAUAUGAAAUCGCAUCAGUCAUAAUUUGGAUUUAUACGAUAACUGGUGUACAAGCUUGGGACCAAAAUUUAUGCCUGAAAUUAAUGCAGAAUAAAGUUGUUAAUCGUAGUGACUAUUGGGUGUGUGCACAGUUGCCUAAAUCAGGAGAAAAUCCAGACCUUUCAUUAAUUGGCGUUCCAAUUUCCAACACUAUCUCAUGCACAAAUUUGAGGGUGAACAGUAGCGAUCUAAGUCUGAGGGAAAGGUUAAGAUUUGGGAUAGUUAAUCCUAAUCCAAGUAAAGAAUAUUAUACCUGUGUACAAAGAUGUAGUACAGCAGGAACCAGAGUAUGAGAUUAUGAUUGUUUAAAUGCCACAGGUGUAGGUCACUAUUCAAAUUAUAAUUACACUAUUAAUGCAGAUGGUAUCAUAGUUCAUUGGUGGCCCAUUCCUGAAGGGAAAGGAUGGUAUUGGUUAUGUGGAGAAAAUGUUUAUAAGACUCUACCCCCCAACUGGAAGGGGGCAUGCACCUUAGGUACCGUGAUGCCCAAUCUUACUAUUAUUGACAUGUAUCCUUCUGGAACCUGGGUAAGAAGUUUUCCUAAAUGGGUUAAGCGAGGGUUUAACUCUAUUGCUGAACAGAACACCGCAUUUCAUAGUUUUGUAAGAGGGCUAAUUCCAUCUUUGGGAGUAGAGUGAAUUAGAGAAGGCAAUCGUAAAUAUCUCAGCAACCAUAGAGGAAAUAGAAAGUAAAACUAUUGAUAAAAUCCAAGCAGAACAAAAAGAGAUAACUAGCCUAUCUAAAGUGGUAUUACAAAACCAAAUGGCUCUAGACAUGUUAUUGGCUUCACAAGGAGGGGUUUGUUCCAUAAUCAAAGAUGCUGUUCCUACAUAGAUCUAAGUGGCAGAAUUGAGACAGAUAUGGAGGAAAUUUGGAAACAACUAAGAUAUUUCAUGAAAUGGCCAAGGAUGGUACCUCCUGGGUGUUUGAAGACAUACGGAAAAAGUUAACUUCAUGGUUACCUGAUCUCUCCUGUCUGAUGCAACUGGUUGCAGGAAUAUUAAUAUUAAUUGCUUUAAUAUUGAUUACUUGUGGUAUGAUACAAUGUUCCUUCUGGUAUUGUAAACAAUCUAUGAUAAAUUAUGAAGAUUGGAAAAGAAAUGAAAACAAGCAUCAAGUAGAAACAGGAAA